CUGCAUGAAGUCGGAAUUGCUAGUAAUCGCGGAUCAGAAUGCCGCGGUGAAUACGUUCCCGGGCCUUGUACACACCGCCCGUCACACCAUGGGAGUCGGUAACACCCGAAGUCGGUGGUCUAACCGCAAGGAGGACGCCGCCGAAGGUGGGAUUGAUGACUGGGGUGAAGUCGUAACAAGGUACC
rnacentral:rRNA from 1 species